AGGGCUCAGACCUGGCCUGGAACCCCUUCUCUGCAGAGGCUGGACCUGGGGCUGCCCAUGGAGCCCCCUCCUCUCUGUCCCCUAUACUUGGCCGGUGCCUUGGCCUCCGUGGCAGGGAGAGCGCUGGCGCUCGCUCUGGGGGUCUGUUUGAGGUUUCCUCCAGCGGCUGGUGGCGGCGGGUACAGCUCACUAAUUAAUUAGCGCUUAAGUACUUAGCAUCCUUCUGCAUCGUGUCAAACGAGGAUUUGAGUCUUAAUUCCCUGUACAUUUCCUGGGCACUGCCCAGCACAGGCCUGGGUGCUGAGGGCAGGGUUGCACAAACCUCUCCAAGCCUUCGUCAGACCACCGGUAGAAUGGGGCUGAUGACAGACUGUCUCAAAGGGGCAGAGGGAGGCUUCAGUGCAAUGCUAAAUCUUUACAGAGACUCAAAUUCAGCUGCAGCCACUGCGGUCCUCACACAGAGUCUUACCCUUCAUGAAAAUCCCUGCCAUAUUUGCAGGACCUACUAUGUGCCAGGCACACGCUAAGUGCCGGGCAUUCCUUCUGUCUCGACUCCUCACCGUGGACCCCUCAUGGGAGAGAUGGGCGCUCUUCUCUCCUCUCAGCGAUGAGGAACCCUGGAGCAGUGUGGUCAAGUCUCUCGACGAAGUUCUUCCAGCUGCUAAGGGGUUGAGCCAAGAUUCCAACCCAGGUCAGCCGCCCCGAGCCCUCAGUGCACGUUUACAGAGCGAAGAAAUGAGCAGAUGAAUGCGGGGUUCAGGGGCAUCAUUGGUUGGAGGGUAAUGAGUGGGCUCCUUGUUUUCAGUGACGCUACAAAGGCAGGGGGCGUGGGGAGAGAGUCCCCCAUGGCUUAGGUUGGUCUCAAGCUGUUACCUGUUAUUGCACAGAACUCCAGAAGCUUAAGAGAAAAGAAAUGAGGAGAGGAGAAGAGAAGGGAAGGGAAAGGAAAGGCAAAGAAAAGAAAAAUCCGGAAGGAAGGAAGGGCCCAGGGGAAGAAAGGAACCUGCCCAGAAGGAAGAGAGCAGAGCUCCAUGGCCAUGGCCAGUGUGAACAGUCACUGAGUCCUGGAGGAGCUGCUACCCGCUGGGCACUGGGGGAGGGGCUCAGGAUGCAAUGCUGGUUGGACCCGACAUCGUCCUGCCCUCGGGGAGCUUCUGGCACGUGGCAAUGGCGGAGCCUUGCACAGGAGGGUCUCGUGGAAGGGAACGCAUCUGGGGCAGCAGGUCGGGGCUUGGGGCCAACCACAUCUCACCCGCUCUAUGUGCCCACUCUCUUCUGGGAGAUGAAGGGUUUGAGAAUGAGGGCACGGUCCAGUCCCAUCGCCUUGCUUUACGGAUCCAGACCAGAGCCUGGAGGAAAGUGGAUGGAGGCGCAGUAACAGACUGGGGGUUGGAAGAAUGAAAGCCACAGGACAGCCUACAAGCUGCUCCUUGACCAAAAGGAUAGCUCACGUCCACUGUGGGGUGCUGAGCCCCCCCACAUGCUUUAUUGCCCUUGGCCCUCCAAACAACUCCACUUGGCAGCUGAAAAACGGAGGCUUAGAGAGGUCACCUUGCCCAAGGUCAAACUGCUAGUAAGGGGACCUGAGAUUCAGACCCCACAGUGUCUGACCGCAGAGACCAGACGGUCAGCGUGCGCUCUGGGGCUUCCCUUCUUUGGGUUGGAAAAGCUCCCAGCAGUCCCACUGCACACAGUAUGUGGCACAGGGCAAGUGGGGGAAAGGCAGAGGCGUGUCCCCAGGCUGGUGGCUGGUAUCUUCUCUGCAAGGCUGCCUGAGCACGCGUGGCCCCAGCCUCAAGGCAAUGGACAGAAAAGGGAGAUGCGGAAACAGAAGCGCUGGGAAACUCACCAGUCUCUGAGGUCACGAGAAGCUUGGACAACCUCUCUGAGGGUUCCUGGCAGUGUCCUGUGGGAGCCAGUUCAUGGAUUUUAAGAAAAAAAAAAAUCAUUAAAGAAGUUAGGACGAUGGAGAGGUCGUAAAUGUAAAAUAUUGGUGGUUCGACAGUGUAUCU